AUUGAACGCUGGCGGCAUGCCUUACACAUGCAAGUCGAACGGCAGCACGGGAGCAAUCCUGGUGGCGAGUGGCGAACGGGUGAGUAAAGCAUCGGAACGUACCUGGUAGUGGGGGAUAGCCCGGCGAAAGCCGGAUUAAUACCGCAUACGACCUGAGGGUGAAAGCGGGGGAUCGCAAGACCUCGCGCUAUUGGAGCGGCCGAUGUCAGAUUAGCUAGUUGGUGGGGUAAAGGCCUACCAAGGCGACGAUCUGUAGCUGGUCUGAGAGGACGGCCGGCCCCACUGGGACUGAGACACGGCCCAGACCCCGACGGGAGGCAGCAGUGGGGAAUUUUGGACAAUGGGCGCAAGCCUGAUCCAGCCAUGCCGCGGGCGGGAAGAAGGCCUUCGGGUUGUAAACCGCUUUUGUCAGGGAAGAAAUCUUCUGGGUUAAUACCUCGGGAGGAUGACGGUACCUGAAGAAUAAGCACCGGCUAACUACGUGCCAGCCGCCGCCGUAAAAC
rnacentral:rRNA from 1 species